CAAUAGCGUAUAUUAAAGUUGUUGCAGUUAAAAAGCUCGUAGUUGGAUUUCUGGUUGAAGCGACCGGUCGGGCGUUGAUUCGUCUGCACUGGAGUCGGUUUUGGCCAUCCUCUAGGAAAGUGCGUCUGGUAUUAAGUUAUCGGGCGUAUGAUCCUGGUCUUUUACUGUGAAAAAAUUAGAGUGUUUAAAGCAGGCCUUCGCCUUGAAUACAUUAGCAUGGAAUAAUAAGAUAGGACUUUGGUCUAUUUUGUUGGUUUGCAGACCGAAGUAAUGAUUAAUAGGGAUAGUUGGGGGUAUUUAUAUUCCGAUGUCAGAGGUGAAAUUCUUAGAUUUUCGGAAGGUAAACUUAUGCGAAAGCAUUUACCAAGGAUGUUUNCAUUA
rnacentral:rRNA from 1 species